rnacentral:rRNA from 1 species
AGUGAACGCUGGCGGUAGGCCUAACACAUGCAAGUCGAACGGCAGCACGGGAGAGCUUGCUCUCUGGGUGGCGAGUGGCGGACGGGUGAGGAAUACAUCGGAAUCUACUCUGUCGUGGGGGAUAACGUAGGGAAACUUACGCUAAUACCGCAUACGACCUACGGGUGAAAGCAGGGGACCUUCGGGCCUUGCGCGAUUGAAUGAGCCGAUGUCGGAUUAGCUAGUUGGCGGGGUAAAGGCCCACCAAGGCGACGAUCCGUAGCUGGUCUGAGAGGAUGGUCAGCCACACUGGAACUGAGACACGGUCCAGACUCCUACGGGAGGCAGCAGUGGGGAAUAUUGGACAAUGGGCGCAAGCCUGAUCCAGCCAUACCGCGUGGGUGAAGAAGGCCUUCGGGUUGUAAAGCCCUUUUGUUGGGAAAGAAAUCCAGCUGGCUAAUACCCGGUUGGGAUGACGGUACCCAAAGAAUAAGCACCGGCUAGCUUCGUGCCAGCCGCCACGGUAA